UCGAGCAAGUACCACGCUUCACUGCAUAUGCAAAGCGCCAACACAUGUAUUUGAAGUACACCAAAGAACCAUAUUACUAUGAAACCAACAUCAUUGAUCACUGAUGUGGAUUAGGAGGAUGAAAUCCUUUUUUUUUUAAUUAAUUAGGUCACCACCGAACAAUGACAUGUUGACAUCCUUUUCUGACAAGAGUCACACAGAGGUCUGACAUGCUUUGGGGGCUUUCUUUCCUUCUUCAUGCUUUCCUUAAUAUUCAGUCACUACUCUGAUGAAGCUCUCUAGAGGGGGAGUAUUCUUGUUUCUUUAGUAUGUUGUUGGAUUUAAUUAUAAGAUGUGCAACUAUGCAUACAUGCAAGGAAUGGUGCAAUUAAUCAAACAAUCCCUCAGCUAUAAUUCAAUCUGAUGAAGAGGAUUCUUAGGUGAAUGUAAUGUCUGAUUGGCGGCUUAAUUAUGCAGAUAUUUUAAGCGUUGGAUGUCCAUUAGAACUUCAAAAAUACUAUGGAGCAUGGCUUGUGUGUGCUAUUGUG